GGCGUGGUAGCUCAGCUGGUCAGAGCGCAGGAUUCAUAAUCCUGAGGUCGGGAGUUCAAGCCUCCCCCACGCUA
rnacentral:tRNA from 1 species